UUAAUACACUUAAGAAUUACAGGACUGAAUUUAGAAAUUCUGUGUUUUCCACAUUCAAUAAAUGACUUAAAAGAUCAGAACAGGCCGAAGGCUCCCUGCCUUCCCGUCCCUGGCGGCCGCAGGGCUUGCAGCGGCUUCGCUACAGCGUGGUUCCUCUUCCCGCCCCAUUUUCCCUUCCCUCUCAUCUCCUCCCAGACAGAGGCGCCUCGCUUGGGGGUGGGGGGCUUUCCUCGUCUAGGGCCAUUUCAUAGUUCUGAAUCAUGUCUGAUAACGGAGAACUGGAAGACAAGCCUCCGGCACCUCCCGUGCAAAUAAGCAGUACCAUUUUUAGCACUGGAGGCAAAGACCCUUUGUCAGCCAAUCACAGUUUGAAACCUUUGCCAUCUGUUCCAGAGGAAAAAAAGUCUAGACAGAAAAUCAUCUCCAUAUUCUCAGGCACAGAGAAAGGAAGUAAAAAGAAAAGGGACAGCCAGAAAUUUCUCCUCCAUCUGAUUUUGAGCACACCAUCCGUGUUGGUUUGAUGCUGUUACUGGAGAAUUCACUGGCAUGCCAGAACAGUGGGCUCAAGUAUUACAGACUUCCAAUAUCACCAAACUAGAGCAAGAGAAGAAUCCUCAAGCUGUACCGGCUGUCUAUGAUUCCAACACAGUGAAGCAGAAAUAUCUGAGCUUUACUCCUCCUGAGAAAGAUGGCUUCCCUUCUGGAACACCAGCACUGAAUGCCAAGGGCUCGGAAACAUCAGCAGUAGUAACAGAAGAAGAUGACGAUGAAGAGACUGCUCCUCCCGUUAUUGCCCCACGACCAGAUCAUACAAAAUCAAUUUACACACAGUCUGUAAUUGACCCUAUUCCAGCACCAGUUGGUGAUUCUGCUGUUGAUGGUGGUGCUAAGUCUUCAGACAAACAGAAAAAGAAGACCAAGAUGACAGAUGAAGAAAUUAUGGAGAAAUUAAGAACUAAUGUGAGCAUAGGUGACCUUAAGAAAAAAUAUACAAGAUACGAAAAAAUUGGACAGGGGGAUUCUGGUUUAGUUUUCACUGCUACUGAUGUGGCGUUGGGACAAGAGGUUGCAAUCAAACAGAUUAACUUACAGAAACAGCCAAAGAAGGAAUUGAUUAUUAAUGAAAUUCUAGUGAUGAAAGAAUUAAAGAAUCCCAACAUAGUUAACUUCUUAGACAGUUACCUGGUGGGAGAUGAAUUGUUUGUGGUAAUGGAGUACCUUGCUGGUGGGUCACUUACUGAUGUUGUGACGGAAACCUGCGUGGAUGAAGCACAAAUUGCUGCUGUAUGCAGAGUGUUUACAGGCAUUGGAGUUUUUACAUGCUAAUCAAGUAAUCCACAGAGACAUCAAAAGUGACAAUGUGCUUUUGGGGGAUGGAAGGAUCAGUUAAACUUACUGACUUUGGUUUCUGUGCCCAGAUCACCCCUAAGCAGAGCAGAUGCAGUACCAUGGUGGGAACGCCAUAUUGGAUGGCACCAGAGGUGGUUACAUGGAAAGCUUAUGGCCCUAAAGUUGACAUAUGGUCCCUGGGUAUCAUGGCUAUUGAGAUGGUAGAAGGAGAGCCUCCAUACCUCAAUGAAAAUCUCUUGAGGGCCUUAUACCUGAUAGCAACGAAGGGAACCCCAGAACUUCAGAAUCCAGAGAAACUUUCUCCAAUAUUUCGGGAUUUCUAAAAUCGAUGUUUGGAAAUGGAUGUGGAAAAAAGGUGUUCAGCCAAAGAAUUGUUACAGCAUCCCUUCUUGAAACUGGCCAAACCAUUAUCUAGCUUGACACCACUGAUCAUGGCAGCUAAAGAAGCAAUGAAGAAUUUGGCUUCAGGAACCAAAGUGAUUUGUUCUUGUUCCAACUUGGGCUUUAUAAGACUUUGACUCUAUUGGCCUUCUACAGCUAUUACUAAGUUACAGGAACAAGCUGGUUUAUUUCUGGCGGAAAGCUACAGUGCCUCUUGAGUUCCAGAUUUCAACGUUCUUUCUAAACAGUUGUCUGGAUGGAUUAUGAUAAAGAAGAUGCUACCAAUGAAAUAGAAACCCAGCUAGAUGAUAAGACUGAUCAUCAGGACCACUUGAGAAGGCACUUUCAUCCUAAGUCAUAUAAACACCAUAUCCAUUAAAUAUGUGCCAGUGCCCCAUUUUAUGUUUGUAACUCAACAAAGGGCUUUUCAGUUUAAUAGAAGCAGUUUGGGAUUUGUAUUUACAACUUCUUUGAUGGUUACCUGCACAUCCAUUGCUGGCAAGGACUUUGUCAUUAAAACCCGACUCCUAGGUUAAGGGAGCUACACUGUGGUUUAUUCUUUCCUUACUUGGACAGACUAACCUGUAAUAGAAAUAUACUUUGGUUAAUUCUGAAAUGUGUCCUUUUUAAACAAAAUAAUCUUACAAGCAAUACAGAUUUGUGAUUUAUUAGUUAAUUUUAAAUUAAAAUGUCUAGAUCUUGUUGAAAGAACAAUUAUAUCUGAAAUCAAGAUUCAUUUUUAAAAAAUGAUUGCCUUUUGUAUUCCCCCUUUUUAUCUUCAUCUUAGGAUGAAAAUUCCCAUUUAAAUCUAAAAGUUAUCUUAGUGGUCCUCUUGUUAUUAGAACAAUAUUACUAUAGUACUUAUUUAUUGUAUUUUAGACUCUCUGGUGGUCUUAAAGUUACCUUUUUUUCCCUUUUGCUGCUUUUAGGGACAGUAAAAACUGGGAAACCAUGAAAACAUUGAGCAUUUUAUCAUACCUGAAUAGUAAAUAAGUAAAAUGAUUAUGUAGCAUGAGAUACCAAAGCUAACACAACUCUAUCUUCAUGUGUUGAGUGCCUGGCCAUAGUAUGAAUUCUCUUCCCUUCAACAUACAAAUAAAUAUUAAGCUGCUUAAAUGUAUCUAGUAACCACCAAUCCUAAAUGAGCCUGUGCCUUUAACAAGUAAUUUUAAACUACCUAUUAGUAUUUCUUUGUAGGGGUCACUUAAUGUUUGUUUGUGUAUACUGUAUUCUAGCCAGAAUAAUUUUAGAUCUGAUUAGGUAACAAGGUAAUAGCUAUAAUUAGAAAAAUAGGUGUUUAAAGA